CAAGAACGCCUCCACCGCCAGCUGCAGGUUGAGCGCCGGCCAUCCCAUCGAGGUGACUUUGUGGGAGGCGUCCCCGCCUGCCCUCUCCCACUUCUCCGUCCACUGCCCCGAUCUCCCAUCCUUCAAUGGCAAUCUGCUUGGCGCGCCUAAAGCCAUCGCCGCCGCCGUCGACGACGCCGACGGCCAGCUCCUCCUCCUCCUCCGAGUCCCCAUCGAUCAGCUUGGUGCCCCGCAUGACAACGACUACUUGGUCUACCAUCCGGAUCCCCCGUCUCCGAAACUGGAUCUGCUCCCCAACCCGCCUCCCCCUACCCUCGGUGACCACCAGCUCGCCAUACUCAGCUGCGGCGACGACCGCUACGUCGUGGCCGCCCUCCACGUCUGGAGUGAGUUCACUUCCACGCUGCGCCUGUACAGAUCUUCUUGUUCGUCUGGGAGUUGGACAUCGGAGGAGGUGUCCGUGGAGGAGCCGGUGAGGGACAGGCUGUGCCCGAUCCCGGACUCAGCCAAGAGGCAGCUGUACCACGUCACCACCAAGACCAUCACGCUCGGAGGUGCGAAGGGCACCGUGGGCUGGGUUGAUCUCUGGCGCGGCAUCCUCCUCUGCGACGUGCUCGACGAAAUGUCUCCAAGGAAGCUCCGCGACAUGCCGCUGCCGUGGCCGGCCAAGGGCAAUUGGAGGAUGUACCUCAAUGGAGAUGUGUCCUUUUGUCGGGACAUCGCCAUCAGCCAACACAAGGAUUCCAUCAAGUAUCUGGAGAUGGAGAUCGUUUCACCAAGAACGGUGACCACCACCAUACCCACCUCCACCUCUGCAGAUCCUACUUCAUACCUUGAAUGGGUUCGCCGCAGCAGAGAACCUCAGCCGACACGGCGACGCUCCGUGUUCCACCCUGGUUCGUGGAGAAUCACUACAUGGAGCAUGCCUAUCCCGGUCACUUCAUGGGACGACUGGCGCCGUGACUGCACUGCUGAAUCGCGUGAAGUCCAUCUUGACACCAACCCAAGUCACCAUUACGAGUUGCUUCAUAGCCUCAUGCUCAGCAACAGCGGUGAUGAACACAGGGAGGAGGCUCAAGGUCAAGGGGCAACCUCUUCCUUGUCCCUAGGUCGCCUGCGUUUGUGUUACCCGGCCUUGAGUUGCAUCGAUGAUGAUGUUGUUUACCUCUUGGGCAACGCUGCUGGCAGGGGUGCUAAGACGGGAGGAAUGAUGGUCGCUGUUGACGUCAGGAACAAGGAGCUGCGAGGAGUGGCCAAGCUUGACCCCGAAAAGAACACCCUCUACUCCAUGCGAUGCUACCUUGCAACUGGGAUCUCCAAACGCCUCAACACUACCACAGGUACUUAAUUACCGCUCGUAUUCCAGAACAAAUGCAGCGCCAUGUGCAUAUGGGUAAUAAAAUGCCAUUUAAGGAUCUAGGGCUGAUCAUUAUAGUUCUUUGUUUAUGAUGGUCCGAAUGACCAAACUAGGACUAGAAUGUAGUAACUUUAUUUAGGGUGAUAGGCUUGAUAUGUUGAUACAAGGGCAGAACAGUACCAAGAGUCCUUUUGGCAGAGUAGUACCAAUACUCAUUAUGCAAUAUACUGUUUUGUGUGAGUUUCAGACAAACGUUGUGUUUCUAACUGUACUUGCAAAAACAAAACCUGAACUCUGUUAACAGAAUAAAGACACCUCCACUAAAAUGUCGACGACUAAUGCAUAAAAUUAUUUGCGUUCUUCGUGAAAAUUCAUAGCAGUAAAUGUGUCGUCACUCUUGUUUCCUUGUCAUUAUGCGUGUAAUAUAUUUUGCUAGCAUGCAUUUAAAUAUGAAGUAAUUAAUCAAAGUGCAUUCGUACCAUGUCAAAAGAACAAGAGAAUAGAGCAAGUAAUAAUAAGGUAGUACUUGACCAAAGCAUACUUGAAAAAGUAGUAUAUUGCUUUAGGUUUUGCUUUUCCUGUUGUACUCAAUGUGGACAACAUGAAUGCUCUUCCUCUUGAGUACUAAUUCUUGCUUCAAGGACAUUUUAUGAGAUAAUAGCUAUUUUAUUUGAUGUAGACACAAGAGUUGGACGACCUGAGGAGGAUGCAGAAGCCGCCGAGUAGAAUGUGCGAACCCAGUGACAUAUAUGCAUCAUACUGCAGCCUGCCUGGAUGCAAAUAUUAUCGUAUCAGUGGUUUGUUGGCUUGAAUGGGGGUUAAGGAGUUGUGCUGUUGCUGGGCAUAUAUAGUUUUGUGACAAGAAUCUUAUCCAGGUUGCUUACUUUGGGUUGAUGAUAAAAGUAGGAGUAGACGUGAAUAACAUUAAUAUAUGUUGGCUUAUUUUUUGAGGGGAUGUUGGCUUAUUUAUGUGGCACUAAUUGUCUUUAUGCCUUUGAGUUAAACACAAAACAAUGAUCCAACUCUUUGAACCUGUUUGUUUCAAGUAAUGAGUUGAUGAAUUUUUCACCACUUGGAGUCCUCCCUCAAACUGGAUCUGCUCCCCGCUGCCUCAAACUGUUUUUUUUUUUUGAACGAAUGUGUUUUCUAAGUUCAUUCUCAGAACAAUGCCCGCCAUCAGAUUCAUCGACUAGCAUAGCAAGACAGUAUAACUUUUUACCAAAGAAAACUGAUUAUAUAGUAUAUAUAGAAUACUUGUCUUACACACAGUGACAAUCCAACAAUAUCUAUGCAACAGGAAUAAUAUGUUAGUGUGCAGAUCAUACCCUCUCAACUCUGAACUCUUCUGCAGCAGGGAGUUCAAGAUAUAUUUUGUACAUAGCUGACAGUGCACCAUUCCGGACAGCGGGACAGAGAAGCUCCAAUCAAAAGUCUCCGAUGUUCUGUCUUAUCUUCUAGGUUUUCGGGCUUGGCUCAAUUGGAAAGGCCCAAUUGAUUUUGGGCUUGAGUACAACGCAGCAUAAGGCGCCACCGAUUAGGCCCAAGUACAGGUAUACUCAAUUAAUUACCACUACUACCACUACAGGUAUACUCAAUUAAUUACCGCUCCUUGUUGUCAUGUCUGUUAUUUGCGUGCUGUUCUACGAGAGAUUAAUCUCUUUGGCUUAAAUUUCUGUCUCAAUUCUUAACAUGCAUAACAGAUUUUAAUCGGUCAAUAUAUAAGUUAGGCUAAACUUUGUUGUGUUCCUUUGCUUGCCGGCAUGUAAGUUCCGAAGAAUUUUGUUUAAACUCUACAAUGUUUGGCCAAGAAAAUUUCUCAUAUCUAGCUAAGAAGAACUAAAAGGAAAAGAGCUGCUGCUCUUGUUCGCCAGUAAUCUGCAUCAAUGGAUAGUGUAUACUGAUCAUUCCGGCGUUGACAUGGCGAAAAGUAUUUUGUCAAUAGGAAGGAGGAGAAUCACACGCCAAGUGCAUGCAUGAUUUUUCAAUUCAUUUCAAGGCAAAGUUUCUAGACAAAGCUAGGUUCUCGAUAAGCCGGCCACUUUGAUUUGAUGACAAUUAGGUUAAUUAAGGCAAUCUUCUUGCCUUUCCUUUUCUAUCAAUAGUGGACAAAGGUGAGAGCUGAUAUUUAUUAUAUCCUGUUAGCCAUUCAGAAAGUGCUUUCCAUGACAUUCCAAACGAAAUGAUAUUUUUCUCAUGUUCAGUCGGCCAUGCAUCUUCAGUUUAACUAAACAAGACAAAAAAAAAAAAAAACUUAUAUCCAACAUAAGAUAUAUAUGCCCUAUGAGCAUAAACGCACUCAGUGAUAAAAUAUACUAGUAAGAGGUAAAGCUAAGGUGAAUGCUGACAAGAGACAAGCCCAUCUGUCCCUCAAAGAUAACAAAUACUACUACUGAUUGAAACAAAAUUAAAGCAUGAUAGCCACUUCUGAAUUUCUGAAUGGCUGAAGGGGAAAAAAAUUGAACAGGAUACUGCAUGCUGAUCGAGUUGAACAAGUAAGAAAAGGUGUUCAUCUUUGCAGAGACAAGAUCUAACACAUUUCUAACUGCAGAGGUAGUUCAUAGCAUCCAUCGAUCACCUACACACAAUAUCCUCUCUCAUGCCUGACCCCUGCACAAACGCACACCGGAUUGCAAAUACACAUAAUUUAGAUCUUUCUAAUGAUUUUGUAUCGUCAGAUAAUCUUGCUUGUUUUGGUCGACCUUCAGAAUUGAGUUGAUGAAGUUCGUCGCAGUGAGCUCUUUGUAGGCAUCACCAGUGCAGCAAAUAGAAGAUGAAUUACAAGACUUACCUGUGAUGAAUUACAAGACUUACCAGGCAUCACCUGUCAAAUAAUCCAUUGAUGAAGUUAGUUUAGAAACUCAAGAGAGUACCGUUAUAAAUGCAGACUUAACAUCAAGGCUAGCACAAAUAGAAGAUGAAUUACAAGACUUACCUGUGAGAAUGAAGAUAAGUUGAAAAGUUGAAGGAUAUUACUGUUAUUGUCAAGGACAUGGGAGGACCAGAGAGCUUACCCAGUCAUUACAAUUUAGAGAUGAACCACAGAUUUGCAUAUGGAAAAUGAUAUAAAUGAUAUAAGAGGUUUGCAAGAUGAUCUGAGAUCUAGCAAUGAGAAUUUGCUAAGAGAAGAAAGACUGAUAUAAGAGCUUUAGUCUAUCCUUGCAAGCCUGACUUCGAAACUUAGUCAAAAGAGUAUGGCCGUGCUUUUCAAUUUCUUAUGUAGUCUUAGCUGCCUCCAAUUUGUUCACUUGUUGGAUAGAUUAGGUAACAUAAAUUUGAUUGAUUUUCCUGAUGAUCAUAGAUUUGUUCACCUCCUCCGCCAUCUUGUGCCUGGCGCCGCCUCCGUCUUCGGUUUGCAAACGUGAACACUGGCAUCACCUACAUGAAAAAUCAAAUGGUUAAUGGUGUGCAACACUGUCAACUUUAAGGUGAAUUUGUGUCAACAAAAUUUCAGUCAAGCUGCACAAAAGAUUCAAAAGUCCCUGAAAUAAAUUGAGAUAACAAACAAUCCUCCAUGCAUAACAGUAUUGAGUACUGGCCCCAUUCGAGUUUAAGAUAAAAGAUUAAGUUCGGACAGGUAAAACGAGAAAAUCAUUAACAUCUCACUAAUUAAGGUUUAAUUAUUUUAAAAUUGAAAAAUAGAUUUAUCUUAUAAUUAAAGCUUCUAUAUAAAUUUUUUUCGUUCGAAAUAUACAGUUCAACAGUUUAAAAAAACGAAUUUAUAAAAAUCUAGGUAAAAUCUGUAUCUUAAUCAGAAAAAGAAAAAUAGAGGCUGAAGAAGCCUUGAGAGAGCAGUAGAGUAUGGCACUGGGAUGAUGCCAAACUGCUUUCAGAACCGAUUCACUGCUGCUGUUGGCAUCUGCAGAUUUGAUGAGUUCAGCUCCAAAAUGAAAUCUGCAUAAGCAAAGCAUCAUGAGUUCUGAAAAGCGAACUGUUUUUUUUUAAAAAAUCUUACAGAUAUGAACUGUAUUACAAGCAGCUGCGAAGCCACAAACCUAUAGCUCUGGCAAAUCCAUCUGGGCAGCACCGAGUCGCCGGCGCGUGCUGCGUGGCGGCGGCAACGCCGGGAGGGACGAGGCGGGAGGAUGAGAGCACCACGGCAAUCCUCUGCACCGAUGAGAUGAUGCUGCACAUGUACUGCUGCGCCAUGGCGGGCACGCUGCCCUGCAGGUGGCUCUCGAACGCGAACUGGAACGCGAUCGUCAUCACCGCCUUGGAGCUCGCCGCUGCUAUUGAUGCCGCUGAUCCUGCUCCAUGGCGUCGCUGCUUCGAGCAUGGAAGCGAGAUCUAGCAUGCAGUUCGAGCUAGAUGUGUCCUAACAUUUGCAAGGAAAGAAAAUCCAGAAGAAUUAUGUUUUUUAUAGCAUAAAAAUUUUAGAAAAUUUGAUUCGAAAUGCUAGUGUAUUAUCUAAUUGUGUGAGAUUUACUUACAGAGGAGAAUCGAUAGGGAUGAUGUAGAAACCGGAAGGCAGCAGCGGAGAAUCAUCACUGAACGAUGCAUCGAUGGGUGCAAAGAUUAGCUCUGAACAUGUUCCUGCACUGCUCUCCUCUACUCCAUUGUACAUCUGCCAUUGCAAUCAGGCCAAGAACACAAGUUUUACAGAGGAAAAAAGAAAAUGAUUCUUCAACUGGUGAUAAGUUUCAUGAAUCAAGAAGUCACCUGCAAGAGGAACAGAUCACGGUGCACCAGUGUAUCUUGGUAGUUUCUGGUGUUUCCUAGCUUGAUAACUUCCAGGAACUGAAACAGUAGAUGGUUGCACCAAAACAUCGAGCAGGAAAACAGAAUUGGACAGGACCUUUUUUGUAACCGACAGACAGUAGAAGAUGGACUUACCUCUGCAGGUUCAAAAGUGUGUGCUAAAGGAAGUAUGACCUGACCACUGAAUCCUCCAAGACGAGACAUGGGUAAAUUGCAGAAGUUUGGUUUCAUCGUCAGCCCAUUGUGACUGGUGUUCGCGCAAAAAUUGCAGUAGUGAUGGAGGAGAGACAUCCUAGCAAACAGCAGAAGAAAUAUUGUAUGAAAAAUAUUGGCAAUUACAAAACAAACAAAAAGAAAGUACUAAUUCUAGUUUCAUAGUGAAGCUAACCUGCAACAGCAUGGAUGCCUUGGCACAAAGAACACCGGUACUGACAAUAGUGAGUCCACUGCUGAAUGUUGCAUUGCAACCGGUCACUUUGGAUGAAUUGACAGAGAUGCAAACAUCGUCGAUGCCAUCGCUCUCGAUCACGGACCAUCCAUCAUCCGCAAGCCCAUUGAGAACUUCAUUGAAGCCUCUGAAAAGAGAGCAUGCAAAAUUAUUUUUCACACUUUUGAACUGAAGAUUCAUGGCAAGAACCAAGAAGCAUCUGCUGUUCAGGAGUCCUACGUGGUGAGCUUUUUGGCUCAGAGCAUGCAAAGCCGCAAGCUUCCUUCCCCAUCCUGUGAUCACAGAACGGGUAUCUUUGUAGGCAACCUGCCUCAGGCAGCGUAAAGACUGAAUUUUGCAUGACUGAAUUAGGCAAUAAUUUUUACAAAUCAACAAGAACAUCAAGAACAGGGUACUAUAAUUACUGUACCGCCAUCGAUAUCUUCUGCGCAACCAAGGCAGAAGAUUCAUACAGAGGUCGCACAACUUCAGGCACGCUCCAAGGCUGUGAACACAAAAAAAUUGGCUGAAAUUUCUUUCUGCUAGAUGAAUGAACUAUUUGGAUAAGAAAUUGUAAUGGUUAUUAGUUAUUACCUCCAGGUCCAUAUGAUCAACGAUGUGUAUCACGCUGCCUCCACCAUCGCUAGGUCGGAUCAAGAACCCACUGGGAAGCAUCUCAUCUCUGAUAAAAGGCUGGACAAGUGGCAUGCUUGGGCCUCCUUGCUUGCUACUGAGUGAUCUCUCACACACCUUCAGAAUUCAGAACAAGAACAUUCAGGCAAGCAGACAAGACAUCAUAGUGACACACAAAUACUUUGGUAUUAAUUGCACAUCAGCACAUGGAUAAUUUGUUUUGCGCUCCAUGAUCAGACAACUAACCACUAAGCUUCCAUCACCGAGAAUGGAGGUGUACCGCAGCAGCCAGAAGUCGUGAGCCGGCGCCAGCGUCGUCGGAGCAUAGAGUUGAAGACUGAAUACAGAUUUCAGCUUCGGAAUUUCAGGUUGAGCUAAGAAUUUGCCACAAAAAUUUUCAGGCUUGUCUGUUCUUGCCUGCAUGUAGAGCAGCUUGACCUUCCAUUUAGCACAACACUAAUGAGUUAAAUCAGAACAUGAACAACCAGACAACUACCCUACCCCUGCAUCAGAAACAUGAAGCUGCACAGAUAAGUUUUUAUCUCAGUCGUCAUAAAGCAGUGAAGAAAAUCAAGCAAAAAAUGUAAUUGCACCAACGAGUGAGAUGGACAGAUUGUUGCACCUCAUUAAAAAUAAAAAGCCCCAAACCUCCUCUAAGUCAAUGAAAAUUAUAGGGAAUGCAAUAAGCCACGAAAUAAUUGCAUGCUAGAAAAAAGUGGCUUGAAUAAACUAAUCUGAGAGCUCCAGUCCACGGUUGGUUUCUCUUAAACAUUGAAUUAUAUGAAGGCCUCUAUUCAAUGGGUUUAUUAGUAUCAACUUGCAUUUAACAGGAACAAUGGCCACUACAACUGAAACAAUGGUACAAUACGAUCAUCAAAGAUUCAAAGUUGUCAAGCUCUGUGACCAAUAGAUACUUACCUUUUAAUUGAGUUGCCAAUGCCCCAACGUUAUAGCCUGAUCCUUACCUUUCGGCUUCUUGCUAUUACCACCCUACUACAAUGCUAUUUCUAUCACCUGAAACAGUAAGAAUCAUGGAAAAAAGAUUCUCGGUUAAUGAUGGCAAGGAUUGAGACUCUGACUGUCCAAAAGAAAUAGUUCAUGCAGCAAUAAGAAAUUAAAAAUCGGCAUCAAGUACACGAGAUAGCCAAAUAAUGGAUCAGGGAAAUGACAUUUAUUUGAUCCCUGCAAAAUUUGCACAUGAACAUACUACUUGCCUAUAGAUGAUGGUGGUGUGGCCGUGUGGGCAAUAUUGGGUGCAUAUGAAAAUGCUGCAAGAAAAAAAAAGGGUGCCCUUUAUACCGAUCAAGAAAAAGAAGUGCAUUUUAGCUUGAUCAAGAACUAACCCAAAAGCAGGCUACUCGUCAACACUGUUUCACUCCCUCUCAGUGAUAUGUGUUCAUGUCUAUUCGGCCAGCAAGCACAUUGCGUUCGUCAAUACAUGCUGUCACUGCCCUUUUGAUCGCCCGCAGAAGAGCCACCCCAGCAUGCACGCAGACAACAAGACAACAACAAGCUUUGAGUUGAAGGGAAAUCCAGAUUAUAUAUUUGAUAUUAGUUAAUUCAGUGUCUCAAAAAAUAUCAUCAACUCCAAUUUGAUGACCAAAAAUCCUCUGCAAAACUGAUAAUUUUACAACCUUGAUGCUACAGAUCAAAUAACAGGACUGAAUGUGCCCUAGCUCCAAAUAUCACAAUAUAGGUGGUAUGUGUUCCUAUCGGGCUAACCUCACCUACUUCAGGGAAGAAAUUGGUCAGCAGCCAUACUUGGAUAAUGGCAGCAUGACCGUCGCCGUGGCCUCGCACCGCCAGUGGCCGGCGCACGCGCAACACACCAGGUCCUUCCGCUUUGGUCACCACUUGCCACUCUUUGCCUCCAUUAAUGACACCACCUCAGCGACUAGCCACCAUAGGUUUGGCCCCAACAAUCACUUGAAAUGAAAGUUGAGAUUACAAAUACGGCAAGCAGGAAAGCCGGUGAAAUCAAACUGCAGCAUCAUGCCAUUCUCCUCUCAAAUAUGGCCGUAAAGCAACACAAGAAGGGAUGUUUUUACCUCUCAAAUCUGUUUGCCGACACCGCCGCUGUGGUGGAGGAGGAGGCCACCAUGUAACACAGAACAUGUAACACAAGAAGGAUGGCAGUGUUUUAUCAGACUUGAUUUGUACCUGAAGGGCGGCAUGUUGGUGGGGAAUGCGUAGAUGCAGAGAACCAUCUCCAUCGGCCGGCAUGCUUGGUCCGCCACAAACCGCACCGGAUCUCAUCGCUGUGUUCUUGUAUCCGCCCCUGCCGAGGUCAGAGCACAAUCCACACCGCUGCUGAUUUACUCCAAUCCAUUCUUUCUAUGAAAAGAAGAAAAUCGAAAUAUCAAAAAAGGAACACAAAACUGAGUUCAACUUCAACCGCACAUCAUUAUGCACGCUGCAAACCUUACCUCCGUGAGACACGCACCAACAGCGGGAAACACGACGAUGAUACCAGCAAUGCAGCACCAAAGGAUGGGGAGAAGCUGUGCCGCCAGUCGAUCUGCGGCGCCCUCGCUUGAUCCGCCGUUGGUCCCAUUCGCACGAAAGGGGAAGAAAUGAAGACAUCAACCGAAGAGGCAGGGAGGGGAGAAGACAGAGCGACGCGACGAGGCGAGGACGAAGAAAGUAUUGGGGUGGAGGCGCUCGAGGAUGAGGAGGCCAGCGCGAGCUCGCAUCCGGCGCUGCACCCGUCCCCCGCCGCCUACGCCGCGAACGCCGCGGCCGUGAGGACAAGGAUGAGGAGGAAGGUGGAAGCUUCCACGGCGGGAGGUCGCUCGUGACGAAACCCUAGCGACGGGGCGGGGACGGGGAUGGGGGCGGCGACGCGAGGCGUGGACGGGGGCAGUGGUGGCCGGCAACGGAGGCGGUGAAGGGCGGAGAAUGGACCGGCGGCGGAGGAGGAGGAUGGCUGAGGGAGAGGGAGGAGGGGCGGCGCGCGGGGCGGCGGCGGCGGCGGCGACGCGAGGCGGGAGAAGGAGAGGGAGAGGGCGAGACGGGGGACGGGAGGGACGAGGAGACGAGCAGGCAGCGGCGGGCAGGUUGGGGGCUUGGGGCUGGGCGCACGGCGUUUUUGCGAAAAAGACCCUCGUCUUUCAAGUUUUACAGCGCGACCCUAACUCGCCACAUCUCCCUUCCUCCUAUGCAAUAACUGUAUUCACCAGAGGCCUAAACGUAAAUAGACAACUCGGUGGGACUGUUCAUGGAGGACGGCGGCCGAAUUACGCGCGAAGCGGAGGGCCUUUUCACAAAAAUGCCACCCCGCGCGCUGUAUAUACUGUAGCAAAAUCCUUACGUGGCACCCCUCCUCGCUCGCCCCAUGUGCGCCGCUUUAUAUAUUCCGAUUCCGAUUCCGUUUACAGGUGGAAUUAAUCACCUGUGGUGUGAACACAUAGGGAAGCAGGGGAGGGAGCUCCUGCUCCUGCAUGACGUCAUCCGGCAGCGGUAGCGCGGUCCUCAGCCACGCCCUUUGCGGCACGGCCAGUGGCCUCCGUCCAAGAUCCCCUCGGUGCCGCGGCUUGGGGAGAGAGGCGGCUGGCGAAUCAAAAGGCAGGCAAAGACGGACGUAGCGAUGCACGUGAUUUCACCCUCCCCAUCCCCAAGCACGGCAACCGAAUUCAUCGCCACAUCCAGCGACGAGGUGAAUCUGUGCCACUGCCGCCGAGCUUGAGGGGAGAGACGCACAGAACAGCGCGCCGGCGCGUGGGAGGGUCGGCCUCGGGCGCCGGAGGGGCGGAGGUGGAGCUGGAGCUGGAGCGUGAGGAGGAGGAAGAGGCGGCGACAUCGGCGUAGGUCGACCUCCGACGAAUGAGGCGGAGGAAGCGGGGGCGGGGCUGCCGGCGGAGAGAAGGGCAUAGCAGGGUAUAACUUUUUCAAAAAGACCCCUAAAACCUCACAUAUUACAAAGAGGUCCACCGCAGCUAUUCCACACCGUUGAUCAUCGAUCCGACGGCUGAGGGAGAGGACUAACGCUGGAAUCGUAUUGUGCCACGUGGAGGGGUUGUUUGCACGCGAAUCGGCAGAGAUUUCGAAAUUAGAGAUUACGCCAAUGCAUCAGGUACAACAUUUAUAUCAUCCACGUAUACGUGGAAUAACUGUAAAAAAACAUUUGUGAUUAUUAUUUUUUAAUACUAAACUGCUUAAAAAUCGAUCAGUUAAAUUUAUCCACCGUAGUACAAUCGUUACGCUAACGCGUCAGGAACAUCGCUCAUAUCAUACACAUGUAAAGUGGAAUAUUUUAAAAAAAACUUUGUGAUUAUUAUUGAAAUACUAGACUGUUUAAAAAAUUGUUCAGUUAAAUUUUAUCCAUCGUGACAUCACUCUGUGCGCAAAUAUAGAGCAUAUUAUUUAUCUAAAAACAAACAAUUUUUUUUGAGCAGAUUAGUUCUCUAAACCAAACAAUACUUUUUGAUCGCUAUACACACUCCGUAAACACCCGGUGCAACGCACGGUCACUUUUGCUAGUCUAUAUAUAUAUAGCAUGUAGAUUCGAUAGUAAACAAUUUACUAGUAAAUUUGGGAGGGGUAGGGGGCGCCGGUGGUUGGGGUGCACGGGGGUGGGUUGGGAGGGGUGGGGGUAGGAUGUGAGGGGGAGCAUUUUAGCUACUACGUACGCCAGAUGCGGUAUAGUAUGUAUAUAUAUAUAUAUAUAUAUAUAUAUAUAUAGUAAAUUUGUUAGGGGCACCAUGGUGCCCGGGCUCCAUAGCCAUCCACCGUCCAAAUGCUUUAAGAUCCGUGCAACACACUAGAGGAUGCUAUCACACAUUAACGGGUCUAACCCGAUAAGAGUUGCAUGCAUAUACUUUCCUUAGAACAUGCAUGCAGGUAUUUCCAUUUUUACUGUGCAUGUAUUUCCAAAUUUGCGCCCUCUAAUCAUGCAUACACAUUAUGAUUAGCACUUUCCAUUUUCUAUAUCACAUUUCCAUAUAUACAACGUUUGCAUGCAGAUACUUACCUUUUGAAUCAUGAUUCGUUUUUGAAAAAUGACGCCAUUCCACUAAUUGCGAUUAUUGCCAUCUAUUUUCAAGAUUACAUUCCAUUUUCAAGAUGCACAUAUAACCGGCUACUGUAUUCCUUUUUUUGAUUUUUCUUUUCCACACUGUUUCACGGUCCAAGAGCUAGCUAUCCACAUCGUCUUCACCGAGUUACCUCGCCGGGAUUGCUCGCCAUGCCGUGAAGAGGGCCGACGUCCGUGGUUUUCGUCACCGACGACGUUCGUCCACAAGCCUCUUGCUGGAAACCAGAACUCCUCAACCAUUUUUGUCAAGCCAUCACAGCGCCUGAUGUCCAAGUGCCUUUUCGCUGCCGUCGCUGGUUGUUCGUGAGCUUCGGAACAGACAUUAUUCACUAGCAAGCUGCAUUACCUGAAAGGUAUGGAUCUCAGUGUUUAUCACUCACACAUCUUACAUUCACAUGCAGUCCCUGUUAUGUAUAGAUGAUUCGCCAUUCCUCUUCUUUUUAUCUACUAAACUGAGCACAUGAUGAAUCACCUGGAACCUAAAUUUAUAGAUUUUUUGUUGAAAUGCAGUUGAAUUUAGAUUGUUUUAGGUAUAUAACAUGCCCGUUCGAAUAUCUUGAUUUGCAUCCAGUGAAUAAAAUUUAGGUAGGUAGUGAAACAGCAGCAAUGUCUCUUUUACGUGGACAUCUCAAUUAUAAUCUUUGUAAAUAUAGAUUUAAUUAAUUUUAAAUUGAAGUAUAUGACCCGAAGAGAAUCAUAUUGCUUGUUUUAAUAAUGGUAGUUUUUAAUAGCAUGCCGCGGCUUCCAAAGUGUGCGAGCAUGAGAAGAAAUGUGAAGCGUCGUUCCAUUCACGAUGAUGAUGACUUUGUCACUCCACCUACAAGGAAGAAGGCUGUUCGUGUUAAAUUCGUGGCACCGGUUUCGCGUUGUGUACCAUCUUCCAUCACACCUAUCAUACAGAGAUUUAGUGCUGAAAAGAAAGAGCUGGUAGCUGAGAUAAUUAUGUCAUUCAUCUUGUGGGAUAUACAUGUAUACGUGUUCGCUCUGUCACUCAUAAACCUAUGUGUACAUGUACACCUGUAAAAGUACAGAUUAUGUCAUUAAUCUUGUGGUAUUCAGACGUGCAUUUUUUCACUCUCUCUCUAUCCCGUUGACUAUGGCCAAUUAGUACCGAAAUCACUCGUUGGUUACUAAAUUAAUCAAUUGAUACCCAAUUCUGACUGGAUCGAUCCAUGCUGACGGUAACAAAUUAUAUUAUGUAACCUAUCGGUCGUAAUAGCUAUAAAUAUUACCAUAAAUAAGAUCUUUAUACUUGGUAAUGAUAUUAAUUUUUUCAUUCCUUCCAACGGAGACACAAUUGCAACAUAUAAAGAGCAGAACAAUACGACUCUGCUCACUUCUGGUGCUCUCUCUGGUUCUCGCCAACAACACAUUUCUGUUCCAGGUAUGGCUCCAACUUAUCUGUACGUAUAUGUACUUCUCAUAUAUGUUGACCUCUUCUUAGUAUUCUGAAAUUUAUACUUAUAUUGCCAGUAGCUAUGGACAAGAUGAACACUAGUGCCCGGAGCGAGAAGAUCGAUCAGUCGCUGCAGAAGUAUGAUCACCCACGCUGCCGUUGGCACAUAUUAUUUGGUACGAAGUCAGAACUACACAACUUAUAUCAUGCACGCACAGCAAGUGAUUUUGAAGAUACUUGGACGGCCCUAGUCAAUGAGUAUGGUCUUCAAGAGGAGAAUGCAUAUCUCCAAAAGGCGCAGAUGUUAAUAGACGAUGAAACGAAGCCCAAUGAUUCACAGGUAAUUUAUUUUAAUAUAUUUUUGGUUCACGUUCAGCUCCAGUUCUGGAUUUGUCACUCCUGCUCUUAACAUUUUCCACUUGUUUUUUUUUCGUAGGAGAUAGAUACAGACCGUAAAGAUGUCAAGAGGGAGGUGGAGGCUCCUAAGUUGAUCAUUUCUCGUCAUAGUGAUGAUAAAUUCUCAUCCUAGUGAUGAGAAAUGAGACUCGCCCACCGUCUGAAUAGCAAACAUGAGGCAACAUGCAAGUACCAGCCGAAAAUCAACUCUCUGAUGGUGUGAUAUGGUUGCCAGCCAUCGGUCAAAUAAGCAGCCAUUUUGUGUUUUUACAUUUAUGAAUCACAAUCGUACUGUAAUAAUAAACUAGUUACAUCUAUAUUUAUAUUUAUAGAUCGUUUUUACUUUAAUUAGCAUAUGUUUCAUUUAUAUUAUGCUAAACUCCUAUGAUAUGUGGAUGAGCCAAUUCACCGAUAUUUUGUUUCCUUUCAGACUUCACUUAAGAGAUCUACUCUUCCAAUUCAGCAUAUUAAACUUCUAAAAGCGCAUCUAAAACACUGUGGAAAGAAAUUGAAUUUAAUCUAAAUCGGCACAUAUGGAAAAACAUGGUGGAAAUAAUAAUACACAGUACACACAUUUAAAUUUUAGAUAUACUUAAAAUCCAUGGUACAAAAAUAUACUUGGAUAUAUUUAUAUUAAAUUUUACAUCCGGACGUAACGACUUAAAAUAUACUUGGUUCCAAAUUUAAUUAGGAAAUAAUGUACUGUCAGCCUAGGUAGGCGAGUUUUAAAUUCUAAUAAUCUACAGUACACACAUUUGAAAUAUAGAUAUACUUAGAAACCAUGGUAUACAAAAAAUAUGCUUGGAUUAAUUUAUAUAAAAUUUUACAUCCGGACGUAAUGACUAAAAUAUACUUGGUUCCAAAUUUAAUUAGUUUCCAAACUUACUAUUUACAACAAUAUUAAAUGACAAUAAUAAAAUAUACCGUGUACACAAAUUGUAAAUUUAUAUACGCUUGGAUUCAUAAUAUAAUUAAAUUAACGUAAUUUAAAACUUUGUAUACUUAACAAGUUAGCUAAGUAUAUAGAAAAAAUAACCCGUGUAUACAUAGCCAUUACAUUACAUAAAUGAGUAAACAUUUUCUGAAUCUGGAAAGUGCAAAACGCACUAAUUUAGCUAGGUGUACAUAAGCAUACCAUAUACUUAGCCUCCAUAUAUACUUAUAUUCCAAUUACAUCGUUCAUGGUGUACUUAGGGUACCUCGGUUUCCUUAUAUAAUUAUUUUCAAAAUAACAGCAGGAUAACAUUUCCAUAUAUACUACAUCGUAGAAGUAUACUUAGAUUUUUCAUAUACCCUAAUAAACCGCAUUAUAUUUGUUGCCAAAUAAACCGCAAAUCCAUGAUUAUGGUGACAAAUAUUUAGAAACCAAAUAACGGCCGUGAACUGUUGAUGGAAAGGUAUUAAAGACGCUAAAUUGAUACUCCUAAAUAUUUUGCAUGCAUGCACACGCUGUCAAUUACCAAACCUAGGUAUUAAAGACGUUACUAAAUAUUUUGCAUGCAUGCACAUGCUGUCAAUUUCCAAAUCAAAUGUACUUAACGGGUGAACCCGUUAAUCAAAUAUACAUGUACCGAUCAACUAGAUGAGAAUGUGAUCCAACGGCAGAUGUCAGUGGUGCCCGGGCACCAUGGAGCCCUAUCUGGUUUAGGGUUUAGGGUUUAUAUGUAUGUAAAAUUGAUCUGGAAUGUGGCGGUUACAUGGGCCUGAACUGAUGUGAGGAGAAAAUUUGUUCUACUUGCUAGGACAUGAUAUGAUCUGGACAUGAAAACGGAAAACGUGGAGCAAUUUGGGAGGGGGCGAUAUGGAGGAAUCGGACCGGAAAAUCGUAAAAAAAUACGCACAGGGAGGAAAUGAAAUUGGACUGCGCAGCGCAUUAUACUGGGACAACGUACAAAAAUACUUGGCAAAAGCAUCUUAAACAUUUAUGAUAGGUAAAGAUCUACAUAUUUCAAUAAAAAAAAGUCCUACCUAAAAUUUAAAACUAACUCAAAAUUUGAAAACUUUGAACUCUCAACAUGAAAUUUGAACUUUCAACUCGAAUUUUGAAACUUUCAACCUGAUUUUAAAAACUUUCAACUUGAAUUAUGAAAACUUUCAACUGGGAAUUUAAAAACUUUUAACGCGAUUAAAAAAAUUUCUAACUCAAACUUCUAAAACUUUCAACUCGAAUUAUGGAAAAUUUCAACUGAAAAUUCAUGAUCUUUCAACUAUUUUUUAAAACUGUGAACUAUCCUUAAAAAAAAUAAUUAUUGAUGUAUUUUUUUUAAAAAAAAUAUUACUCCAGUACAUAUUACCAUUAGCGCUAAUUAGGUCAUUUGCGGACUAAUCACCCCGGGUGCGGGCAUCCCAAAUAAAAGCCUUCGCUCCACCCGUCUACGUCUGUUUGUUGUAUUCCCCUUCCUUACCCCCAAAAUCGAAAUCCCUAAUUCGACGCCAUGGCCGCGACUGGCGGCGCCGCCGGGGAGAAGACGGCCAGCAGCCUCCUGCUCGGCGUCCGGGGCUACACGUCCACCCUCAAGAACGCCUCCACCGCCAGCUGCAGGUUGAGCGCCGGCCAUCCCAUCGAGGUGACUUUGUGGGAGGCGUCCCCGCCUGCCCUCUCCCACUUCUCCGUCCACUGCCCCGAUCUCCCAUCCUUCAAUGGCAAUGUGCUUCGCGUGCCUGAAGCCAUCGCCGCCGCCGUCGACGACGCCGACGGCCAGCUCCUCCUCCUCCUCCGAGUCCCCAUCGAUCAGCUUGGUGCCCCGCAUAACAA
rnacentral:lncRNA from 1 species